ensembl:snRNA U6 U6 spliceosomal RNA
GUGCUCACUUUGGUAGCAUAUAUACUAAAAUUGGAACGAUACAGAGAUUAGCAUAGCCCCUGUCAAGGAUGGCAUGCAAAUUUGCAAAGCAUUCCAUAUUUUA